AUUGAACGCUGGCGGCAGGCCUAACACAUGCAAGUCGAACGAGUGGCGGACGGGUGAGUAAUGGCUGGGAAACUGCCUGAUGGAGGGGGCUAACUACUGGAAAAGGUAGCUAAUACCGCAUACCAUCGGAUGUGCCCAGAUGGGAUUAGCUAGUUGGUGGGGUAACGGCUAACCUAGGCGACGAGCCCUAGCUGGUCUGAGCGGAGGACGAGCCACACGGGAACUGAGACACGGUCCAGAUUCCUACGUGAGGCAGCGGUGGGGAAUAUUGGACAAUGGGCGCAAGCCUGAUGCAGCCAUGCCGCGUGUAUGAGGAAGGCCUUCGGGUUGUAAAGUACUUUCAGCGGGGAGGCGUUACCCGCAGAAGAAGCACCGGCUAACUCCGUGCCAGCAGCCGCGGUAAUUC
rnacentral:rRNA from 1 species